rnacentral:rRNA from 1 species
GUUGUCCGGAAUCAUUGGGCGUAAAGAGCGUGUAGGCGGCUCGGUAAGUCCGCUGUGAAAGUCCAGGGCUCAACCCUGGAAUGCCGGUGGAAACUGUCGAGCUCGAGUCCGGAAGAGGCGAGUGGAAUUCCUGGUGUGGCGGUGAAAUGCGCAGAUAUCAGGAGGAACACCAAUGGCGAAGGCAGCUCGCUGGGACGGUACUGACGCUGAGACGCGAAAGCGUGGGGAGCAAACAGG